AGCUCCAAUAGCGUAUAUUAAAGUUGUUGCAGUUAAAAAGCUCGUAGUUGGAUUCGAAGCGUUUUAGUUGGCCGAGAGGAUGGUUGGACCUUUACGGCAUGUACUAUUGCGUUCUAUGUUCAGCCGAUGUAGACUGGCCUUAAUUGGCUGGUAUUGCGUCCUGAACCGUUUACCUUGAAUAAAUUAGGGUGUUCAAAGCAGGCUUUCAAGCCUUGAAUAGUUUAGCAUGGGAUAAUGGAAUACGACCCUAGUCUAGUCCGUCGGUGUUUCUAGGCUAGGGUAAUGAUUAAUAGAGAUAGUCGGGGUCAUUCAUAUUCAAUUGUCAGAGGUGAAAUUCUUAGAUUCUUUGAAGAUGAACUGCAGCGAAAGCGUUUGACAAGGAUGCUCUCA
rnacentral:rRNA from 1 species